rnacentral:lncRNA from 1 species
GGGGGGAGGGGGUAGCGGUGUCAGGGAAGCAAAGGGCUUUCAUUUGCUCCCGAGGCAGCAAUAACCAUCCAUGCAUCGGUCAUUUAACACGGUAACCCAGCGAAAUUGAUACUCGGCUCUUCCCUGCUCUGGGUCCACUCGCAUAAAUCAUAACCCCAGGAAACAAAAGCCCGGCCUAGCAGAGUAUCUGCCAGACAGGACGGACAAGGAGGAAGGCAGAGCGACUCACCCACUUACUCCAAGGCUUGUAGGGAGAGAGACGCACGCUGACGUCCGGGAAUUCCUCUGCUGCCUUUUAUUUGUGUUCAGGGAAAAAAUUACAUGGAAAGACACUGAAGUGUGUGUGUGUGUGUGUGUGUGUGUGUGUGUGUGUGUGUGUGUGUGUAGGGGGAAUCAAAGGGAUGAAGGCUGAAUUGAAGACCAGCAGACGUGUUAAAACUGACCCAGCAUAUAAGCCUGGAGCUGACUGGCUUAUUAAGUCUCUAGACCUGAGGACACACCCGGCUCAGGGGACUCUUGCUGCUGUUGAUGCUUCCAGCAAGGAGGGCAGGUUAAGAGUUACAAAACUGCAUGGAUGCAAUGACAGUCAAGAGCCUACCGACACCACCCUGACCAGAGCAAGGCACCGUAUGACAUCCUUCCUGUCUGAGGCACUGUGCAGACCUGAAGUGCUUCUGGACCAAGCAGGUUUGCAAUGGACAUUUGGCAAACAUGGCCUCUCUUUAGUAAAUCUCGGUAGCUGUCACAGAGGAGUGACAGGACUGGAUUAAGAGGCUUUAGAUAUUUAGAUUUCGUGGAGAAGGA